rnacentral:lncRNA from 1 species
CUAAGACAUUUUUGAGAUGUGCUAAGAUGAGACAAAGUGAUCAUGCUGUCUACAUGAUCAUGUCGUCUUGACAGUGAUCAUAUUGUGUACAUCUAGUCGCCUUGAUAAGGUAUCAAGAUGAGAUUCCAACAAGUAAUCAAAAUGGAUUUUGCUAUCCAAUAAACCCGUUUAGCAGCCAGAUCGAGUUCUCGAUUUGAGAAUGCCUAGAGAAAUGAAUAUAAGGAGAAGUCAAGCUAGGUAUCGAGGAAUGCCUGGACUAGGAUCUGUAAUGGUUUAAAAAGAAUAUGACGUACACCCUAAGAAAGAGAGAAAAUAUCGUAGCACGUGUUUCAUACCACGUGAGCUUUUAUGACCAAUCUUGGGUAAAUGAGUGAAUGGAUCUCUACUUCUUCAUUGUGUGAGACUUUGAGGUUUAUGUAACCUCAUAUAUACCCUUAUGACUUUUGACUGUUUCUUGAGGUUUUAUUUCAUUGAUGCUACUUUAGCAUGUUGUCAAUGACUAUGAUCGAUUCGGUUUGAUGGGGCAUGUCUAGGAAAGCAGCUGAUUUAUAAUCGAAGGAUUCAAGUAUGAAAAGAAAACUAUUUUGACCAAUAUUUAUAUUUGCAUUCACCAACCGGACAACUGUGUUUAACCAUUUAGAGCAUAUAGCACAAUUGUAAAUAUAAUGAUGCGAUAUGGGAUUCAAGUAUGUUUCAUAAAUACUCGAGAGAUAGAAAAUACUUGAAUUAAUGCUGGAAAAUGAGUUUGGGGUAUAGCGAGAUGUGAUAUUUCUCUAAAAAAACUACUAUAUUCCCUAACAGGUUUAUAGUACCGUGAACUCUAAUAAUACUUGUGGUUGCACAUUUAUUUUCCGUUUGAAUCUUUGUAAG